rnacentral:rRNA from 1 species
ACGGGUGAGUAACACAUUGGUAACUACCUCGAAAUCAGGGAUAAGCCCUACAAAUAGGGUCUAAUACCGGAUGGUCCCGAAAGGGUAAAGCAGCAAUGCGUUUCGAGAGGUGCCUGCGGCCUAUCAGCUUGUUGGUGAGGUAAUGGCUCACCAAGGCUAUGACGGGUAGCUGGUCUGAGGGACGAUCAACCACAAUGGGACUGAGACACGGCCCAUACUCCUACGGGAGGCAGCAGUAAGGAAUCUUUCACAAUGGGGGAAACCCUGACCAAUCAACCCCCCGCGGAGGAUGAAGGCGUUUUCCUUGUAAACUCCUUUUUUGAGGGAAUAACCUUGAAGGUACCUCGUGAAAAAGCAUCCGCUAACUACCUGCCACCCCCCGCGGUAAGACGUAUGAUGCAAGCGUUAUCCGGAAUUAUUGGGCGUAAAGCGUUCGUAGGUGGUUUGUUAAGUAGGGCGUUAAAUCUUCGGGCUUAACCCGAAGUUGGCGUCCUAAACUGGCUCACUAGAGAUAGAACUGAGGUAAGUGGAAUUCUGUAUGUAGGGGUAAUAUCCGUAGA